rnacentral:rRNA from 1 species
GACGAACCGUGCGAACGUUAUUCGGAAUCACUGGGCUUAAAGCGCGUGUAGGCGGGAGGGAACGUCGGCCGCUGAAAUCCCACGGCUCACCCGUGGAACGGCUGGGCAUACUGGGGUCUUGAGCCACCUAGGGGCUACCGGAACAAAUGGUGGAGCGGUGAAAUGCGUAGAUAUCAUUUGGAACGCCAACGGAGAAAUCAGGUAGCUGGGGGUGUGCUGACGCUGAGACACGAAAGCCAGGGAGCGAACGGG